rnacentral:rRNA from 1 species
AGCUUCCGCAAGGACACUCGUAGAGGUGCUGCAUGGCUGUCGUCAGCUCGUGUCGUGAGAUGUUGGGUUAAGUCCCGCAACGAGCGCAACCCUUGUCUUCUGUUGCCAUCAGGUUAUGCUGGGCACUCUGAAGAGACUGCCGGUGAUAAACCGGAGGAAGGUGGGGAUGACGUCAAGUCGGCAUGGCCUUUAUGUCUGGGGCCACACACGUGCUACAAUGGCAGAUACAAACCGUCGCGAGACCGCAAGGUGGAGCUAAUCGGAUAAAGUCUGUCUCAGUUCGGAUUGCAGGCUGCAACUCGCCUGCAUGAAGUUGGAAUCGCUAGUAAUCGCGGAUCAGCACGCCGCGGUGAAUACGUUCCCGGGCCUUGUACACACCGCCCGUCACAUCACGAAAGCCGGUUGUACUAGAAGUCGCCACACUAACCUGCAAGGGAGGGAGGCGCCUAAGGUAUGGUCGGUGAUUGGGGUGAAGUCGUAACAAGGUAAGCGUAGUGCU